GACGAACGCUGGCGGCGUGCCUAAUACAUGCAAGUCGAGCGGACGGAUGGUAGCUUGCUCCCAGACCGUCAGCGGCGGACGGGUGAGUAACACGUGGGCAACCUGCCUGUAAGACUGGGAUAACUCCGGGAAACCGGGGCUAAUACCGGAUAACUCUUUCCCUCACAUGAGGGAAAGCUGAAAGAUGGCAUCUCGCUAUCACUCACAGAUGGGCCCGCGGGGCAGUAGCUAGUUGGUGGGGUAACGGCUCACCAAGGCGACGAUGCGUAGCCGACGUGAGAGGGGGUUCGGGCACACUGGGACUGACCCGCGGCCCUGGCUCCUACGGGAGGCAGCAGUAGGGACUGGUCGGCAAUGGACGAAAGUCUGCCGGAGCGGCGCCGCGCGAGUGAUGCAGGUUCUCGGAUCGUAAGACUCUGUUGUCGGUGAAGACCAAGUACCGGAGUAACUGCCGGUUUCGUGACGGUACCUGACCAGGAAGCCACGGCUAACUACGUG
rnacentral:rRNA from 1 species